GUGAGGAAUAUUGGUCAAUGGGCGCAAGCCUGAACCAGCCAUCCCGCGUGAAGGAAGAAGGCGCUAUGCGUUGUAAACUUCUUUUCCGGAGGAAUAAAAUCCUGAACGUGUUCGGGACUGAAGGUACUCCGGGAAUAAGCAUCGGCUAACUCCGUGCCAGCAGCCGCGGUAAUACGGAGGAUGCAAGCGUUAUCCGGAUUCAUUGGGUUUAAAGGGUGCGUAGGCGGAUUGAUAAGUCAGUGGUGAAAACCUGCAGCUUAACUGUAGACGUGCCAUUGAUACUGUUAGUCUUGAGUAUGGUCAAGGUAGGCGGAAUGUGUAAUGUAGCGGUGAAAUGCUUAGAUAUUACACAGAACACCAAUUGCGAAGGCAGCUUACUGGGCCAUUACUGACGCUGAUGCACGAAAGCGUGGGGAGCGAACAGGAUUAGAUACCCCAGUAGUCC
rnacentral:rRNA from 1 species